rnacentral:rRNA from 1 species
UACGGAGGGGGCAAGCGUUAUUCGGAAUUAUUGGGCGUAAAGGGCACGUAGGCGGCUAGAUGUGUCAAAGGUGAAAUCCCUCGGCUCAACUGAGGAACUGCCUUUGAAACUGUCUGGCUUGAGGCCGGGAGAGGGUAGCGGAAUUCCCAGUGUAGCGGUGAAAUGCGUAGAUAUUGGGAGGAACACCAGUGGCGAAGGCGGCUACCUGGACCGGUUCUGACGCUGAGGCGCGAAAGCGUGGGGAGCAAACAGG